GACGACGCUGGCGGCGUGCCUAAUACAUGCAAGUAGGACGAGUUGCGAACGCGUGAGUAAAGCGUGGGAACCUGCCUAUAAGAGGGGGAUAACUACUUGAAACGCUCGCUCAUACCGCAUACUAUCGGAUGUGCCCAGCUGGGAUUAGCUAGUAGUGGGGUUAUAGGCUCACCUAGGCGACGAUCCCUAGCCGGUCUGAGAGGAUGAUCAGCCACACUGGAACUGAGACACGGGCCAGACUCCUACGGGAGGCAGCAGUAGGGAAUAUUGCACAAUGGGCGCAAGCCUGAUGCAGCCAUGCCGCGUGUAUGAAGAAGGCAUUCGGGUUGUAAAGUACUUUCAGCGGGGAGGCGUUACCCGCAGAAGAAGCACCGGCUAACUCCGUGCCAGCAGCCGCGGUAAUUC
rnacentral:rRNA from 1 species